UUCUUGAUGAAAUAGAAUCAUUUCAAAGAACGAAGUGCCACCAGAGCAAUCCAUAUGCAUCUAAAUUCAUCCCAGGGACAAAAAUAUAAGAAGGUUGCAGGCCAAGAAGCUGAUACAUCAAGUGGGUUGUUUCACCAUAGAAGCGUAUUAGUUAUUUAUCCUGGUAAAGAGUGAACCAGUAGCCAAGGACUCUCACUAUCUUGCUUCAGAAGAAGGUUGGGUUCACGGAUGAAUCUUCUCAGUUGGAGCUGGGAUAAGACUUUGGGGUGAUCAAGUGUAUACAAACCUGAAGUUACAUUGAUUCUUAUAGAAUUAGUUGUGACUCAAUGUGGUAUUGUCCAGUGCUGCAUUGCAUGUGAUAGAUUGCAUCGUAACAGCAGAUUACUAAAAACAUUGAUUCACCUGCAUUAUAUCUAAGCACCAUGAACUUUGUUUAUCAAAUUCUGACAUGCAUACAAACACAAUAGAUCUACAAAAGCUAUUUACUAACAUGACUGCUACAAAUAAAAACCCUCCAACCUUCUGUUAACUAAGGUACUUUGACCUUCAACAAGCUCUGCCAACACAUGUUCAGCAACUUCCUGAGUGCUGCUAUACCCUCUCACUUAUCCGUUCCCCAUUAAGCUCCUUUGCAACUAACCCAAGCACCCUUCGAGGUCGACAAGCUAUAGUUUGGUGGUCGUCAGCCUUGGUCCAGGAGACUUACGACAGUGGCAAAGUGAAACCCCAGAUACUUCGGUGGCUCUGGGGCUCCAAUGCGCCCACCGAAAAAUCGUGCCGAUGCGGAAAAAACCGGGUAGUUUAUUUGACAUGAAAAAACUGCCCAUGCACACACGACGCCAGCACCGCGUCCUUCAACUCCCCCUUUGAGCACUCUAGUCUCCAAUGCUCCCACCAGCGCGAGGCCGCCGCACCGAGCCUACUCUCCAUCACCAGACCACCAGAGCGAAGACUCCGCACCCACCCUGCUCUCUCCCCACCGCCUCGCCGACAACGACCCACCGCUCCUCUCUCGCCGGCGCAUGGCCCCCGCUGACCCUGCGCCACUCCUGCUGGUCUGAGACCACAGCUGGAUCCUCCGCUGCCAUGGAUCGUGCGUUCCUCGCGAGUCCACAACGCGCAACUGGGUAGGGCAGUCCAUUGGCAGAUAAACAUGACAUGAGCCUCUCCGCCUAACACACCUCUGGCCUCUAUCGCUGGAGAAUGGAAUAGUACAGGUAGCUCAACAUCCAGCGAGUGUUUGGUUUUGAUUUGCAAUAUUGUUGAUUAUUGAGUCAGAUUUGAUUCUGAAUUUGUAAGUUGCCGUAGUCUGAGAUUGUGAGAAAGUUAA